UAUUUGCUCCAUUGGAGGGUGAGCAAUUGUAUGGAACACCGGGUUCAUGGGGUGGAGAGCAACUGCAUAUAUGACACAUCAUGAGGUUCCACUGCCAGAUGAUGAGCAGUGGUUUGCAAGCCUCAAAACAGAGGCUGGGGAUCGGAAUUGUGCUAUAUGAUCCUGUCACCAACUGAAACCCCUCAUGGUGAACACCAUCAGUGCUCUUAAGAAUCAGCAGACGCAGGCGUUAUUGGAUGCCCUUGGACAGCUCAUCCAGGGUCAACGUGCCAUUCAAACCGAUGCGGCAGCCACCGCUUCGCCACUGCCACAGCCAC